GACGUAGGGCGCAAGCGUUGUCCGGAAUUAUUGGGCGUAAAGAGCGUGUAGGCGGCCAGAUAGGUCCGUUGUGAAAACUCGAGGCUCAACCUCGAGACGCCGAUGGAAACCAUUUGGCUAGAGUCCGGAAGAGGAGAGUGGAAUUCCUGGUGUAGCGGUGAAAUGCGCAGAUAUCAGGGAGAACACCCGUGGCUAAGGCGGCUCUCUAGUACGGUACUGACGCUGAGACGCGAAAGCGUGGGGAGCGAACAGG
rnacentral:rRNA from 1 species